AUGAGGGUGCUGGAUACAGGGUCUUCCUAUCUCCAGAGAUUAGGGAAUAUGUAAAUAUAGAGGAAGAUGAGGACUUUUCCCAGUGGGAUUCUCCACCAGCCCUAGCCAUUUUACAGCAUGAUAUUGAGCACGUUGGCCCAACCAAAGUAAAGCUUUUCUUUUUGCAUGUGAUGGAGGAGGACUACUAUAGUGUCUACUGCAUCAAUUUCAUUCACGAUCGGAUAGAUGUACUUGAUUCUAGUCCAGAAGACCACACAAUUUAUCAUAAUGUUCUCGGUGACCGGAUCAUUCGAAGGCUUAAUCUCCUAUUCCAGCUGGCCAUGGAUUAUAGAGUCAAGCAGUUUAAUUGAUUCAAGCGCCCAAUAAUUGACGUAUGUAUGCACUCACACGAGAAUGAUUGUGGAUUCUUUGCAAUCAAGUUCAUGGAGCUUUGGAAUGGUGAAUCUUUCCAUGUUCCCAUCCUCACGGCAAAUGGACGUUUGUAUAGGUCUGAGCUCUUAUUCUACGGCCUCUACCAUCCACUGAACACUAUCAAGAAGCUCCCUGCUGGACUAGAAGCAUACAUGCCUCGUCUGUGACCCUCCUGUCUCCUCCAAAUUAUCGUCAAAAUAUGUGUGCAAGUGAACAAGUCUGUUAUCAAUUUUUUCCCACUAGGACAAGACUGAGUUGUCCCAGGGUAAUUAUAGUUAUCUAUAAAAAAAAUUCUAGAAUACUAUGCCCAUAUCUAUGGCAUGGAAAUACUACUUU